rnacentral:tRNA from 1 species
UCUUGGGUGGUGUGGAGGUAUAAGCGCGCCUACCGCCGCGGAGACCCGGGUUCAAUCCCCGGCUUGGGAC